CUGAUAAGAUCUGAGCUAAGGCCUCCUGAAGACCCGGAAUCACGAUGGGCACAGUGGUGCCUGAGCUGGUGCUGCUGAAGUGUCUAUAGCUGGGACCUGGUCUUGAACUGGGGUAGCUGGUGAAUCUGCAGGUGCUUCCCUCGCUGCUCUACCUCUACCACGACCAUGACCGCGUCCUUGGCCUCUGGUGGCCACAGCUGGUGGCACUAGUGGUCGUCCACCCUGUCCAGUAGCGCGUGUCUUCACCAUUUGUGAGAGAAUAGAAUAACAGAAGUUUAGUACUCGGAUCAACAAGUUCGCACAACAAGAAUUUCAAGAAUGUGAAGUCUUUCCUAAAGGUUUUGCAGCCUCUCGAGGAUAAAUACUGACGUUUCUGUAUCGAUCCGCGAGACUCUACUAAACUUGCUCAUAACUCGUGAGACCUAUGUAACCUAGGCUCUGAUACCAAUUUGUCACAACCCUAAACCCAGACCCGGUCGUGAUGAUGCCUCUCAUGAAGACAAGGCCAGCCAACUAUUCCCAAUUCGAUGUUAAACAGUUAAACAAUAAGAAAGUAGUCUAAAACAUGAUUUAAUAAUACUAAGUAGCAGAUAAUAUCAUAACAAUGUGGAAGUACAACCCAACACAGCUCUAACUGGGGUGUCACUAGUCAUGAGCAUCUAUAAGUCAUAAUACAAUUCUGCUAAGUCCAUAAACUAGUACAAAUGUCUGAAAGGAAAUAGAAGCGAUAGAGGAGUAGAGACACGGGGCUACGGACGCCAACAACUACCUCGUGAACUCUGGAUGUCCGCCUGAAGCUGGAGGGAUCAGCACUCCGGAGCGGAAUCAGCUACACCUGAAUCUGCACAUAGGGUGCAGGGAGUAAAGUGAGCACUCCAACUCAGUGAGUAACAAAUGUAAAUAACGACUGAAAGUAAGAAAACAC
rnacentral:lncRNA from 1 species